GGGAGUGUAGCUUAAUUGGUCAGAGCGACCUGCUUAUAACGGGUUAGUCUGGGUUCAAUCCCCAGCACUCCUA
rnacentral:tRNA from 1 species